AAGUCGUAACAAGGUUUCCGUAGGUGAACCUGCGGAAGGAUCAUUAAUGAAAUACUAGGAUGCUCUUUUUAGAGGUCCGAACCAUUUUAUUCCACACACCGUGCACACACACUGUUUUUACACCCCAUUUUAUAACACUAUGUAUUGAAUGUAUAAAAGUCUCUUAAUUGAGCAUAAAAUUAAUAUUAAAA
rnacentral:misc_RNA from 1 species